GGUUAUGAGAAGAAUGUGAUCACAGCCAAGGUAGUCUUCUCAAAAAGACAACUAGAUUCAUCAGCUUUUGGAGCACCUUCUUGUGGGCACAUACUCUGCUAUGUAUUGAGAAUAUCAUGUCGAAUAAGGUCUGGUCCCUGAAUGCAAAAAGGGUCCAAAAAGGGAUAACAAACACCAUCAAUAUUUUUGCAGAGAGCCUGGCCACACAGCAAG
rnacentral:lncRNA from 1 species